CAGGGGUUGCAACUGCACAUUUCUGGAACCUGUGAUUUAUGUUUCUUCACUGCCAUACACAAGUAAAUAAAUCCCCUACAAAACCAAAGAGGAUGGAGAACGUGGUUCAGAGACAGCAUAGUUGCAGUGCAUUUAUCCUCACACAGACAGAAGCAUGACAGGAGAGGAGAGGAGACGUCAAAGAGAUUCUGCCAGAGGAAUAUGGAUUUCCUCGCUCCCCUCACCAGCUGAUAUUUUCAAGAAGAUGCAAGGUUUUGCAAUGCACAAAUGCAUUAGCAAUGCAAAGAGAAUGGGAAAGGCUCUGACAUUUGCUGAAGUUCCAUUAAAAUGGUGCAGGUUGUGUAUACAGGAGGGGAAGAAUUUGGGGACUGGCUGGCUGCCCUAAAAAGCAUGCAUUUUACAGGCUACUGUCUGUGCUUUACCAGCAACUUCUCCUCCAUCAACUGCAACUCAGAAAAUAAUUUGUUUUAUCAUAGCUCACAUUCAAAAAGUGAAAAUACAAAAUAGAUGUUGCUUAUUUGAUUUUUGCAAACUCCAGACUUCCUGGUUGAUUUAUGCAAAAAUAUAU